GCAGCGGGUGGCUCGGUGGUUAGUGCCUCUGCCUUGAACGCAAAGGACCGAGGUUUGGAUCCCACCUCCUGCUGCA
rnacentral:tRNA from 1 species